UGUGAUUGACAAUAACCAGGAAGAUUUAACCGCUCAGUUCAUCCAUUUGAAUCCUUCUGCAGUAAUUCUGUUCCCUACCCUUUCUUACUUGCAGGAAAUUCAAGUGGGUACACAUAAAGACGAUCACGGUGGAGGAGAUCUCGACGGUCGAUGUGAAGCUGGGGCGGAAGAAGGGCACGAAUAUCACCUUCCUAGAAGGAACGAUCUGAUUUUUCUGCGUAAACUAUGUUUACCAUUCAUUCUGUCCAGGAGCAUCCAGACAGGGAGGUGCUUCACACCCUGCGUCUAGGCAUGUGCUGCAACACCAACCACAUGGCAAAGAUUGCUGACAACUGUUAAGAGAAAGCAAACAACUGAGGAGGAACAAUCUUGUUUGUGCCUAAUGAUGGUUGCCUGAACCUGACACCAGAUACCAAGACAACCUUGAACCUGGACACCAGGGAUAUCUCCCACGGCGUGCCUCUUUAGACCAAAUCCAGCAAUCAACACCUCGUCAAUUUGCUCCAUGAAGUUCAGGAACCAUCAUUAAGCACAAACAAGAUUGUUCCUCCUCGGUUGCUGGCCCUUUAGUCAUAAAAAAUGAUGUGUUGUGCUGGUUAGCAAGUUUUAUCUCCCCCGUGG